UUCAGGGUGGUGGGAUCAAGCACCAGGCAGGGCUCUGCACAGGGUGUGGAGCCUACUUGAGAUCUUCUCUCCCUUUCCCUUCCCCUGCCCCUAUUCAUUCUCAUGCUCUCUCUGAAGAAGAAGAAGAAGAAGAAGAAGAAGAAGAAGAAGAAGAAGAAGAAGAAGAAGAAGAAGAAGAAGAAGAAGGACUGACGACAUAAGGUAAAAUGAUUUCAUUUUCCGAAGAAGAAGACGAAGAUGAAGAUGAAGAAGAAGGAGGAGAAGGAGAAGGAGAAGAAGAAAGAGAAGGAGAAGGAGAAGGAGACUGACGACAUAAGGCAAGAUUUCUGCGCCCAGUUGGCCCCUUUUAACUUCCCGAGUUUGCGACCCUGAGAAAGCGCGCUCCAAGUGAACCGCCUACAAACAAGAACUGAGGACAGCGCUUCACUCACGAAAACAGGCUCUAAGCUAGUAGCAUUGGAGGCUCCCUAGGUUGUCCAGACAAGAGGUGGGAAAGCUGGAUCUGAAAUUUCUAGACUUUUCAGACUUCACUCCUGGAUCUCAAUCCCACAUCACAAGCAAAACUUCCUGAUCAGCCGCCGGCUCCUUCACCUUCCCCACUGCCAAAUGCACUACCUCCAGAGGCCAGGAAACCACAGGACCCGCCCGGGGAGAGGAGGAGGAGGAGGAGGUCAAGGACACCAGAAGACCACUCCGGCGUGGGUCUGCCCAUGCUGCCGUGGCUGAGCCACUUCUGGGGCUCUGUGCCUCCGGGUUCCAAGACACUAGCUAACUCUGAAGCACAGGUUCAUUUUCUCAUGUGUUGCUUUUUUCAAACCUAAAGUUUAGAAUUUAAGUUUGAAAGAAAGAAGAAUCAGAAGUGAAACACUCCCUGCUAGAGGUCACUGACUUCCCUUUGCAAAAUGGAAUAGACGAUAUUACUGAUUUCUGCAAGGAAAUUGAUAUUUAUUUUUUCACUCUGACGUGUUCCCUGCGUGUUUAGCUAUUGCAGUGAUAACUGUACUCACCACUGAAAAGGUUUGCUCUCUGGGAUAACAAAAUAAAACAACUCUUUAAGAGGUGGGUGAGGUUAAU
rnacentral:lncRNA from 12 species